UACGUAGGGGGGCUAGCGUUGUCCGGAAUCAUUGGGCGUAAAGAGCGUGUAGGCGGCCCGGUAAGUCCGCUGUGAAAGUCGGGGGGCUCAACCCUCGAAUGCCGGUGGAUACUGUCGGGCUAGGAGUGCGGAAGAGGCGGAAGUGGAAUUCCUGGGUGAUAGCGGUGAAAUGACGCAGAUAUCAGGAGGAACACCGAUUGCGAAGGCAGCUCGCUGGGACGUAACUGACGCUGAGACGCGAAAGCGUGGGGAGCAAACAGG
rnacentral:rRNA from 1 species